UAGAGUUUUGAUCAUGGCUCAGGACGAACGCUGGCGGCGUGCUAAUACAUGCAAGUCGAACGAACUCUGGUAUUGAUUGGUGCUUGCAUCAUGAUUUACAUUUGAGUGAGUGGCGAACUGGUGAGUAACACGUGGGAAACCUGCCCAGAAGCGGGGGAUAACACCUGGAAACAGAUGCUAAUACCGCAUAACAACUUGGACCGCAUGGUCCGAGCUUGAAAGAUGGCUUCGGCUAUCACUUUUGGAUGGUCCCGCGGCGUAUUAGCUAGAUGGUGGGGUAACGGCUCACCAUGGCAAUGAUACGUAGCCGACCUGAGAGGGUAAUCGGCCACAUUGGGACUGAGACACGGCCCAAACUCCUACGGGAGGCAGCAGUAGGGAAUCUUCCACAAUGGACGAAAGUCUGAUGGAGCAACGCCGCGUGAGUGAAGAAGGGUUUCGGCUCGUAAAACUCUGUUGUUAAAGAAGAACAUAUCUGAGAGUAACUGUUCAGGUAUUGACGGUAUUUAACCAGAAAGCCACGGCUAACUACGUGCCAGCAGCCGCGGUAAUACGUAGGUGGCAAGCGUUGUCCGGAUUUAUUGGGCGUAAAGCGAGCGCAGGCGGUUUUUUAAGUCUGAUGUGAAAGCCUUCGGCUCAACCGAAGAAGUGCAUCGGAAACUGGGAAACUUGAGUGCAGAAGAGGACAGUGGAACUCCAUGUGUAGCGGUGAAAUGCGUAGAUAUAUGGAAGAACACCAGUGGCGAAGGCGGCUGUCUGGUCUGUAACUGACGCUGAGGCUCGAAAGUAUGGGUAGCAAACAGGAUUAGAUACCCUGGUAGUCCAUACCGUAAACGAUGAAUGCUAAGUGUUGGAGGGUUUCCGCCCUUCAGUGCUGCAGCUAACGCAUUAAGCAUUCCGCCUGGGGAGUACGGCCGCAAGGCUGAAACUCAAAGGAAUUGACGGGGGCCCGCACAAGCGGUGGAGCAUGUGGUUUAAUUCGAAGCUACGCGAAGAACCUUACCAGGUCUUGACAUACUAUGCAAAUCUAAGAGAUUAGACGUUCCCUUCGGGGACAUGGAUACAGGUGGUGCAUGGUUGUCGUCAGCUCGUGUCGUGAGAUGUUGGGUUAAGUCCCGCAACGAGCGCAACCCUUAUUAUCAGUUGCCAGCAUUAAGUUGGGCACUCUGGUGAGACUGCCGGUGACAAACCGGAGGAAGGUGGGGAUGACGUCAAAUCAUCAUGCCCCUUAUGACCUGGGCUACACACGUGCUACAAUGGAUGGUACAACGAGUUGCGAACUCGCGAGAGUAAGCUAAUCUCUUAAAGCCAUUCUCAGUUCGGAUUGUAGGCUGCAACUCGCCUACAUGAAGUCGGAAUCGCUAGUAAUCGCGGAUCAGCAUGCCGCGGNUGAAUACGUUCCCGGGCCUGUACACACCGCCCGUCACACCAUGAGAGUUAUAACACCCAAAGUCGGUGG
rnacentral:rRNA from 1 species